rnacentral:rRNA from 1 species
ACGUGAUCUGAGUUCAGACCGGAGUAAUCCAGGUCGGUUUCUAUCUAUACCAGAGCUUUUUCUAGUACGAAAGGACCGAAAAAGCGUGGCCUAUACUUAAAGCAAGCCAUCACUAUAAACUUAUGCCCCCAACUCAAUUAACUAGUAAUCUUCCACACCCACUCAAGACCAGAGA